GGGUGGGUACCAAAGCGGUCAACUGGAUCAGACUGUAAAUCUGAUGCCUUCGGGCUUCGGGGGUUCGAAUCCCUCCCCACCCACCA
rnacentral:tRNA from 1 species